UACGGAGGGUGCAAGCGUUAACCGGAAUUACUGGGCGUAAAGCGCACGCAGGCGGUUUGUUAAGUCAGAUGUGAGAUCCCCGGGCUGAACCUGGGAACUGCAUUUGAAACUGGCAAGCUAGAGUCUCGUAGAGGGGGGUAGAAUUCCAGGUGUAGCGGUGAAAUGCGGAGAGAUCUGGAGGAAUACCGGUGGCGAAGGCGGCCCCCUGGACUAAGACUGACGCUCAGGUGCGAAAGCGUGGGGAGCAAACAGG
rnacentral:rRNA from 1 species